UGGGGAAUUUUGGACAAUGGGGGAAACCCUGAUCCAGCCAUCCCGCGUGUGCGAUGAAGGCCUUCGGGUUGUAAAGCACUUUUGGCAGGAAAGAAACGUCAUGGGUUAAUACCCCGUGAAACUGACGGUACCUGCAGAAUAAGCACCGGCUAACUACGUGCCAGCAGCCGCGGUAAUACGUAGGGUGCAAGCGUUAAUCGGAAUUACUGGGCGUAAAGCGUGCGCAGGCGGUUCGGAAAGAAAGAUGUGAAAUCCCAGAGCUCAACUUUGGAACUGCAUUUUUAACUACCGGGCUAGAGUGUGUCAGAGGGAGGUGGAAUUCCGCGUGUAGCAGUGAAAUGCGUAGAUAUGCGGAGGAACACCGAUCGCGAAGGCAGCCUCCUGGGAUAACACUGACGCUCAUGCACGAAAGCGUGGGGAGCAAACAGG
rnacentral:rRNA from 1 species